rnacentral:sRNA from 1 species
GAUGUGAAACGGCCGCGGCGGCGUGGUGAGCGGCCCGGGCGCCGCUGUCCUCUCCUUCCCCUCCCCUCCCCUUCACCCCCUCUGGGGGGCUUCUCCUUGGGCCCGCCGCCGCACCCCGGCUCCUCGGCGGGACUCCAGGAGUUCUCGGCGCCCCCUCCCCGCCCCAGCCCCCCAGGGCGGCGGGGCCGGGGGGGACUCGGGGGGCCGGCUGCAGCCUCCGCCCAGAGGAAACUUUACCCAAACAAAAUCUUCGAGCUUUCUGAUUGUGACUGUCCCGGGACAAGUGGCCCAGGACGGGCUGAAGCCACAGCCUGCAGAGACCCAGGAAGAGAAAAAGCGGUGAGCGGGGCUGCUGCCGCUGCCGCCGCCGCCGCCUCAGCUUCUAUCCCGGCAGCGCGGAAGAGACCCGGGUAGCUGCUCCGUGGAGCGACGCUAGCACCGCUUCUUAGUUCCGCGCCUAGCCUUCCGCAGCUGCCCGCCUCAGCCCGAAGGAGGAAGGGAGCCAGCCACAUUGUCAGCGCCACCGCUCGUCUCUGAAGCGUGAGUGGACCCGAAGGAGGGGGGACAUUAUAAGGAAAUCUCUGCUAUCAACGAGACUUUUAAAAGGCUCUCUAAAUAUUUGGUACGAGAAUUUCUUCUCUUUAUAUCUUUUGUGAUCCCUCUACACAUUGUGUCUAGGCAAUCAGGUUAGUAAGCAGGAAUGGUAAUUUAUGAAUUAAAUAAGACUUUUUCUACUUGAGAUUUUAUAGUAAUUGUCUAUUAAUUGCCAAAACAUUCAGAUGGUGAUGUGUUAAGUCUUGUUUACCACAGUGCGUGAGCAUAAGCACCAUUACUGUGAGUUGGUGUCUAUGCUGUUUCCAAUCUGGAUUACCAUAACUUCUCUCUUCUAAGAUUAAAAUGAAAACUUCUC